AACGAACGCUGGCGGCAGGCCUAACACAUGCAAGUCGAACGCCCUAGCAAUAGGGAGUGGCAGACGGGUGAGUAACGCGUGGGAAUAUCCCCCUCAGUACGGAAUAGCCCAGGGAAACUUGGAGUAAUACCGUAUACGUCCGUGAGGAGAAAGAUUUAUCGCUGAGGGAUUAGCCCGCGUAGGAUUAGCUAGUUGGUGAGGUAAUGGCUCACCAAGGCGACGAUCCUUAGCUGGUCUGAGAGGACGAUCAGCCACACUGGGACUGAGACACGGCCCAGACUCCUACGGGAGGCAGCAGUGGGGAAUAUUGGACAAUGGGCGCAAGCCUGAUCCAGCCAUGCCGCGUGAGGGAUGAAGGCCUUCGGGUUGUAAACCUCUUUUAUCAGGGACGAUGAUGACGGUACCUGAUGAAUAAGCCACGGCUAACUACGUGCCAGCAGCCGCCGCAGUAA
rnacentral:rRNA from 1 species